CCAAUAGCGUAUAUUAAAGUUGUUGCAGUUAAAAAGCUCGUAGUUGAAUUUCGGGAUUGACGUGAUGGUCGUGCCUUAAGGGGUAUGAACUGUUGCUGUUGAUUUCUCACCUUCUGGAGAAACUUGAUGUCCUUAAUUGGGUGUCUUGCGGAUCCAGGACCUUUACCUUGAAAAAAUUAGAGUGUUUAAAGCAGGCAUUUUGCUCGAAUACAUUAGCAUGGAAUAAUAGAAUAGGACGGCAUGGUUCUAUUUUGUUGGUUUCUAGGAUCACCGUAAUGAUUAAUAGGGAUAGUUGGGGGCAUUAGUAUUCAAUUGUCAGAGGUGAAAUUCUUGGAUUUAUUGAAGACUAACUACUGCGAAAGCAUUUGCCAAGGAUGUUUUCAUUAAUCAAGAACGAAAGUUAGGGGAUCGAAGACGAUCAGAUACCGUCGUAGUCUUAACCAUAAACUAUGCCGACUAGGAAUCAGACGAUGUUAAUUUUUUAAUGACUCGUUUGGCACCUUACG
rnacentral:ncRNA from 2 species